rnacentral:snRNA from 1 species
CGAGGCCCGCUAAUUUACGGACA